CUAUACAUGACUCUGCGCAUAUCAAUAAGCGGAGGAAAAGAAACUAACAAGGAUUCCCCUAGUAACGGCGAGUGAAGCGGGAAGAGCUCAAAUUUGAAGUCUUAAAGGAGUUUCCCUUUACGAAUUGUAGUUUAAAGAAGUGUUUUCUGUUGAGGUUUUGGUAAAAGUUCUUUGGAAUAGGACAUCAUAGAGGGUGAGAAUCCCGUAUUUGACCUUUACUUUCAACUUUGUGAUACACUUUCAAAGAGUCGGAUUGUUUGGGAAUGCAGUCCAAAAUGGGUGGUAAAUUUCAUCUAAAGCUAAAUAUUGGCGAGGAGACCGAUAGCGAACAAGUACCGUGAGGGAAAGAUGAAAAGAACUUUGAAAAGAGAGUUAAACAGUACGUGAAAUUGUCAAAAGGGAAGCGUUUGACACCAGUGUUGUUUUUCUGAAAAUCAAUUAAAGAACUGUUUAUGCUAAGUUGUUUAGACUUUAUCAGCUAACUGUUUAGUUUUGAGCUUUUCUUUAAUGCACUUUUCAGUUAACAAGUCAACAUCAAUUUCUUUUGCUGUAAAAAAGCUUGAGGAAGGUGGCUUGAGAUUCGUCUUAAGUGUUUAUAGCCUCUUGCCUAUGCAGUCGGAGAGAUUGAGGUCUGCAGCGUAGAUCCUUCGGGGCUAAAUGCAUUUGUGCUAAGUUAUAGCAUUUUAUAGACAACUUGUUGACUAUGAUUUGUCUUGUAGCUUACUCGCUUAUGUUAUUUUACCUACGCUUAGGAUGUUGAGCGCAUGUCUCUCUCU
rnacentral:rRNA from 1 species